rnacentral:lncRNA from 1 species
CCCAGGUUCAGGGAAGAGAACUUUGUUGUAUUGAUCUGCCAAUUCAGAGACAGUCUGCCCUAUGACUCAGGAAAGGAAGCCUCGUCCCUUUUCAGAAGACACAACCCGAGGCCUCCUGGAAUAUUCUGAGACUAUCCUGUUCUCACGCUGAGAAGACUUAUGUCCCUGGGUUGAAACAGGCCCCUGGGUUGGUAAUGUGUCAAGAAGCAACUUUUUAUGAUGACUGGCCCUGUCCAAAUUUAUUUGCAGAAACUCAAAAAGAUCAGAAGGAUGAGGACAGAGAUGAGCCAACCGCCCCCAGCUGGGAGCUGCAGGAGGAGGAGGAAAUGGAUGAUGCGUGUCAGGAUUCUUUGGAUGAAAAGUAUUUGGCUCUUUCCAGUCACCAUGACUUGUCUGACUCCUGCCACCCUCCCGACAGUCCCGCCAUCCCAUCUGAUGAGCAUGAAAUCUGCUCUCGUCUGGAUGGAGCCCCUGGGAGCUGCAGGAGGAGGAGGAAAUGGAUGAUGCGUGUCAGGAUUCUUUGGAUGAAAAGUAUUUGGCUCUUUCCAGUCACCAUGACUUGUCUGACUCCUGCCACCCUCCCGACAGUCCCACCCUCCCAUCUGAUGAGCAUGAAAUCUGCUCUCGUCUGGAUGGAGCCCAAAGUCAUGAAGACGAGGAGUAUGUGGAAGAGAGAGAACCACUGUCCAAAAUGAACGACCAGGGGAGGGUAAAGGACAGGUAAAGUAUGGAAAGGGUCCUAGAAAGAUCAAGGAGCACAAAGGUGACCACAUCUGUGAUGCGAUGGUCACCCAAACCUGCAGAUUGCAGUCCUGUCAUUCCCUCAACCAACAACGACAUAGCCCUCUGAAUGGGGCUGUGCAGUCUCCUUCUGGUACUUGUAGAGUUAGUCUGAACCAAGGUGAACCAACUACUCUCAUGGAUUUCCUGUACUCCCGGACAUCACGUGUCCUCUCAUGGAUGGUGGGUUAAAGGCAGGGUGAGAUUCACAUCCGCUUUCUGCAGAGUUCAUCUUAGGUCGUUGGCAGGUAUUUCACAGCAGGGAAGGUAACUAGACCCCCGAAAGUGGUAUUA